rnacentral:rRNA from 1 species
AUGAACGCUGGCGGCGUGCCUAAUACAUGCAAGUCGAGCGAACAGACGAGGAGCUUGCUCCUCUGACGUUAGCGGCGGACGGGUGAGUAACACGUGGAUAACCUACCUAUAAGACUGGGAUAACUUCGGGAAACCGGAGCUAAUACCGGAUAAUAUAUUGAACCGCAUGGUUCAAUAGUGAAAGACGGUUUUGCUGUCACUUAUAGAUGGAUCCGCGCCGCAUUAGCUAGUUGGUAAGGUAACGGCUUACCAAGGCGACGAUGCGUAGCCGACCUGAGAGGGUGAUCGGCCACACUGGAACUGAGACACGGUCCAGACUCCUACGGGAGGCAGCAGUAGGGAAUCUUCCGCAAUGGGCGAAAGCCUGACGGAGCAACGCCGCGUGAGUGAUGAAGGUCUUCGGAUCGUAAAACUCUGUUAUUAAGGAAGAACAAAUGUGUAAGUAACUAUGCACGUCUUGACGGUACCUAAUCAGAAAGCCACGGCUAACUACGUG